GCCGGAGUGGCGGAACUGGUAGACGCGCUGGACUCAAAAUUCGGUCCCCGAGAGGGGGUGUGGGUUCGAGUCCCACCUCCGGCACCA
rnacentral:tRNA from 1 species